rnacentral:lncRNA from 1 species
GAAAAGGGCACGGGAGAGAAGACCCGUUCAACGCUGCAAGCCUGGGGGGAGGCAUCUCCUGAGGUUCCGACGGUUAUUUGAAGGCACCUUCGAUCGCCGCGGCGAUGCAGAACCAGGCGCCACCGCUCCCUCCUUCCUUCCCCGCCGCCUCCGCCUCCGCCUCCGCCUCCGCCUCGCCGCCACCGCCGCCUCCGGAGGAGGAGACCGCCACCGCCGACGCCGGUGCCGCCGAUCCCAUGCCUUCGAGCAAGCCCGUACGCGUCUACGCCGACGGCAUCUACGAUCUCUUCCACUUCGGCCACGCCCGCGCCCUCGAGC